rnacentral:tRNA from 7 species
GCUUCCGUGGCUCAGUAGGUAGAGCGACGCACUCGUAAUGCGUAGGUCACCGGUUCGAAUCCGGUCGGGAGCUUCA